GACGAACGCUGGCGGCGUGCUUAACACAUGCAAGUGGAGCGACGAACCGGGGCUUGCCCCGGGGCAGAGCCGUGAACGGGUGAGUAACACGUGGGUUACCUGCCCUGAUGACCGGGACAACCCGUCGAAAGACGGGCUAAUACCGGAUGUGCCCGCAAGGGGAAAGGAGGCGUAAGCUUCCGCAUCGGGAUGGGCCCGCGGAGCAUUAGCUUGUUGGUGAGGUAAUAGCUCACCAAGGCUUCGANGCUUAGCUGGUCUGAGAGGACGAUCAGCCACACUGGGACUGAGACACGGCCCAGACUCCUACGGGAGGCAGCAGUGGGAAUCUUGCGCAAUGCACGAAAGUGUGACGCAGCAACGCCGCGUGCGGGAAGACGGCCUCGGUU
rnacentral:rRNA from 1 species